GGAAAAGAAAGAAAGGGAAAAGAGAGAAGAAGGGGGAAUCAGGGAAGAAGAAGGGAAGGAAAGGGAGAAGAGCGCGCCGUCACUGCACCCUGCCCGCUUGCCGCUGCCGUUCCAUGGUGCCGCCGCCAUUGUCGCGCGAACCGGAGAGUGUGGAGACGGAGAAGAGUGUGUGCAAGAGAGGAGUAGCCACCAUCGUUGAGGACUCCAUCACCGCCGCUGAAGGUCCUGACCGUCAGCUCGUCGUCGCCGUCACACCUCCCAUCACUGCUGCCACUAAAGAGCUCGAAGAGAAAGAAAGGGUUCGCGCGGAGAGAGAAACACGAUAAGGGAGGAGGAGGUUGCCUCUGUUGCUACCAAGCCGUCGCUGGCAGGGUUGGGUUCGCCGUCCCUGUUGAGCUGUGCGCCGCCAUUGGUAUUUGGAUCACCACUCUGUUUCAGCUGCAACUCGCCACUGUACUGGUGAGCUUUACCCUGUUUCUGAUUUCUCUUUGCUCGCCUAAUUAUCCCGUUGUUGCUAUGAGGGUUAUUGUUAAAGUGUUUAUGUUAACUGAAGCUGUUGCUGUGAGUUACUUUACUGUCGCCUAAUAUUGAUUUUAAUGUUGAUUUGGUAUAAUGUUGUUCUGAUGUUGAUUUGGUAACUGGUAAUUUGGAAAUGCUGUUGUGAUUUUAUUUUGAUUUUAAUAUUGAUUUAGUAUGUAACUGGUUCUCUGGCAAUGCUGCUUUGAUUUUGCUUUGAUUUUAAUAUUAAUUUGUUAUAAUACUGUUAUGAUUUUGAUUUGCUAACUAGAUCUCUGAAAGAACUUAUAAGUGGUAUCGAAUUAACCAUGAAAAUUUUGUAGCCAUCAGACACGGAUGUACGUAUAGAUCUCUGAAUUAAAGCUUACUUGUGUAUAUAAGGUAAGAUUGGGCUUUCUCAACCCAAGUGCUGCAUAUAGGAUUGCAUUAACUUUAAUACUUUCUAGCAUUUGUGUAGUUUUGAUUAAAUUAUCAAAGUUUGGUAUUUGCUUCACUCUGAUUGCUUUCUUGUAUUCUUGAUUAUUUUGUAAAGAUUCUUGAAAUGGACACCUAUAGAUACCACGGGCACUCUAUGUCUGAUCCUGGUAGCACAUACCGUACAUGUGACGAAAUUUCCAAUGAGAGACAAGUUUGUCACACUACUGAGCAAAGCAUAUAAUGUGCUGUUAUUUUAAUAUCAUGGAGUUCUUUCUCAAAUUUUUCUCUUGGUUAAUAUGAUUAUAGGAGCGUGAUCCAAUUAAGAGAGUGUGGAAGCUAUUAUUGGCUCAUGACAUUGCUUCUGAGAAGGAGCUGAAGGUAAUCCAAAGAAACUAGACUUCUUACUUUGUUCUUCCGAUGUGAAGUAUGAUAAUUUUAAGGCUUGGUUAUGUAUAAUACUAUGACUUCUAUAUUGAUGACAUCUUUGCCAAAUUUACCAUGCCUUUUUUAUUUUUUAUUUCUUUGAAGAUAGUUCAUGGAUUAAACUUUUCUUUAUUAUGAUGUAAGGUAUCAGACUUGACUUAAAGAAUUAUGGGCUACGUUAUAUUUUUUUGUGAUUUGCGACUUGGUCUGUGCGAUGGUUCGCUUUAGUUUGCCUAUGUCUUUGGUAUGAACUACAGUAGCUGUAGAAUUCCUAUGUACCUAAUCAUCUUGAUGUGAUAUUAAAACCAUUAUGUACUCCCAAGUCUCUAACAUCGCUUUCAAUUCAUGAAAACAGGGUUGGUUAGGUUAGGUAUGUUAAAUCCUGUCAUUUGCAAUUGAGAACAAAACAGGUAGACCUUGUUUUGUCAUUAGUUACUUUAUUGAUUGAUUUUUUUCUCUUUAAUGAGAUUUUAUUCUAAGCAAUGUUAGGAGAAAAUAGUUCUGUGUCGUCAUCGGUUACUGCUCUGUAAUCCGUUGCUGUUCCGUGCUCUCCUCUCCGAUGUCCCCCACUUGGUCUGUUGAGGUUCGGUUAUGGGACAAAAUUUGUUUGAUGAAAUGGCUGAGAACAUUCUCGGUGGCAGCAGACUUGGAAACAAAUUCUGCGACUCUUCUAAGAGCCAAGUCCUUAGGAGUUCCUCAAUAGAUAAAGAGAGAGCAAACGAUGUUGCUGAAGAUCAAAGUUGUGUUACAUGUUGAUUGAGAAUGCUACUUGCUGCAGCAGGUCCUUAGUCGGUAAUGGCUUAGCUAGUGUCAACGUGUAUAGAUUUUAAACUCUAAGUUUUUUGAGUGUGCAAACAAUGAAUUAAUUGAUUCUAAUUUGGAUUUGAAUUUAGUUUCGUGCAUUUUAAGUUGUAAAAUGAUGCAAAGCAAUGAGUAUUACUUUUCUUUAUUA